rnacentral:rRNA from 1 species
UACGUAGGGGGCAAGCGUUGUCCGGAAUCAUUGGGCGUAAAGCGCGUGUAGGCGGUUCGAUAAGUCUGCUGUGAAAGUCCAGGGCUCAACCCUGGAAAGCCGGUGGAUACUGUCGGACUAGAGUGCGGAAGAGGCGAGUGGAAUUCCCGGUGUAGCGGUGAAAUGCGCAGAUAUCAGGAGGAACACCGGUGGCGAAGGCGGGUCUCUGGGCAACAACUGACGCUGAGGAGCGAAAGCGUGGGGAGCGAACAGG